AAAAGCAAAAGAUGGCCCAUUUAAGGGGUUGAAACGGCCUCCACAACAGGAAGGGCUCUACCCAUCUCGUUCUCUUCUCUUGCGCUUAGCUGAAAAUAGCAAGAACGGCUUGUUCCGUAGAAUAAUGGAGGAAUCCAACAGGAAUCUGGCCUGUAUCUUGCGCGUUUCUCCAUCCGGAUUGGAAUUCCGUGAGUGGUAGCCCCAAACUUAAAGCGUAUCGAUCUGGAAGUUCUCCUGUGUUCCCUCCCCCCGCUUCCGCGACCCUAAGGAAUGCGUGACUGAGCCUGGAACACGUCAAUUGGAACUGAACGACAAACAGACACGGAGAUAACUACCCAGGAAGUGGAAUAGCGGCUGUGUACAAACUUCGGUUGUUGCGAUACCUACUAGUACAUCGGUUUUACAAGGUGUCAAUGAGAACUGCAGGUAAUCGUCGCAUGUGCUUCAAAAAGUGCUUAAAAAUAGAAGAAGCCCGACAAUUCUUUUUUGGGUAUGGUGGGACACUCUCCAUGAUGUGCAUGUAACGUACAGACAUGUGCCUGGAAAUGCGAAUGCGUUGUACUGCUCUGCAGUGGCAGACGCCAUACAUAUUUUGAAACAAAUGGAGGUGAGACCGCCAUCCUAGCGGCUAUAGAUCUGCCUUAGAGAAGGUAUUGGACGCAACGAUCAAUCGUUGCCAUCAAGAAGAGGUUUCUUACUUUUAUGUUCAUCUUAUUAAAUUUCCUCCAUUUGCAUAUCUGAUCUCAGAGAGUCAUUGGAUUGCUUUGCUAGAAUUUAUUUGCCGAAGGGUCAUCCAUCACACACAAUAGGCAAAUGAAACAUGCGCCUCAGCCCAUACUGUGAUGCAGCUAAUCCUCUACCAUUACGAUCGUGAUACCCAUCCCUUCAAACCAUAACCUCUUGCCCACACAGCAUCUUACCCAAAUAUAAUUGCUAGGCCAGGCGUACCAUUGAUGCCGUGAAUUCAGAGCAAUUUUUGUUUCCAUGUUCCUGGAAAUGAGCAGAAUUGAAUAAUAACGGCUUCCCAUUCAAACCGAUAUUCAAUAUACAAGCUGCAAUAGGGGCUACUAUAAUAAAAGCAACAUCGAACAGGAUCCACCUGUGUAUAUGGAUGAUAUAACAUUCAGAAUUUACGUGCAGCACGCCAAACUUAGCCAUCGCCAAUGGCGUCCAAGCUGCUGUUGGUAACUGCAUUCGAGCUGAUAUCAGGUUGAAGACGGGCCGGGAGAGCAACAUCGCCACAAGGCAACCAACUAGGG
rnacentral:sRNA from 2 species